AUUGAACGCUGGCGGCAGGCCUAACACAUGCAAGUCGAACGACUGGCGGACGGGUGAGUAAUGUCUGGGACACUGCCCGAUGGAGGGGGAUAACUACUGGAAACGGUAGCUAAUACCGCAUACCAUCGGAUGUGCCCAGAUGGGAUUAGCUCGUAGGUGGGGUAACGGCUAACCUGGGCAACGAUCCCUAGCUGGUCUGAGAGGAUGACCAGCCACACUGGAACGUAUACACGAGCCAACAUCCUACGGGAGGCAGGAGUGGGGAAUAUUGCACAAUGGGCGCAAGCCUGAUGCAGCCAUGCCGCGUGUAUGAAGAAGGCCUUCGGGUUGUAAAGUACUUUCAGCGAGGAGGCGUUACUCGCAGAAGAAGCACCGGCUAACUCCGUGCCAGCAGCCGCGGUAAUAC
rnacentral:rRNA from 1 species